rnacentral:rRNA from 1 species
UUCGUAGGUGGCCUGCUAAGUCAGACGUGAAAUCCCUCAGCUUAACUGGGGAACUGCGUCUGAGACUGGUGGGCUUGAGUGCAGGAGAGGAACGCGGAAUUCCAGGUGUAGCGGUGAAAUGCGUAGAUAUCUGGAGGAACACCGGUGGCGAAGGCGGCGUUCUGGACUGCUACUGACACUGAGGAACGAAAGCCAGGGGAGCGAAAC